GCCGGGUGCGGUGGCAUGUGCCUGUAAUCCAAGUCACUGGCAGGCUGAGGUUGGUGGAUCAAGUGAGCUGAGGAGCUCUGGGCUGCAGCACGCUAUGUCGAACGGGUGUCCACGCUAAGUUCGGUAUCGAUAUGGUGUUCCUGGGGAGCCCGGGACCACCAGGUUGUCUAAGGAGGGGUGAACCGGCCCAGGUCGGAAACGAAGCAGGUCAAAUCCCCCGUGCUGUCCAGUAGUGGGAUAAUACCUGUGAGUAGAUGCUGCAGUGCAGCCUUGGCAAAACAUCGAGACCUAAUCUUUU
rnacentral:SRP_RNA from 1 species